AUAUUAAUACUACGUACAACCUACCUUCUACUUCUCAAAAAAUUGUGAAAUUAAACAUACAAAUGGUAAGGUGCGGGGGUUAAAAAUUGAAACUUCCAGAAGGCACAUCAUUAAUACUAACAACAUACGUAUACAAAAUUUUACCAGCCCCGACUCAAUUUAGAAUGUCUGCAUGGAUAUUAAAGGGCGUGUGCAAUUCGCGCCAAAAACAACCCUGAAAAAAUCUAUGU